rnacentral:lncRNA from 1 species
CGCCUUUGCCUCCAAGGCUUUGCUGGCUUGUGCGGCAUCCUGCUCCGUCUGCAGGUUGUGCUUCCGGUGCGGAGGUCAGGGACAAGAUGGUGCCACCGGUGCAGGUCUCUCCGCUCAUCAAGGUGAUCCAGGCUUUGCAGCCGCCGCCCAGUGCUCUGGGCCCCCCCGUGUCCCGCCCCGCAGCUCCGACCCCGCGGGCUGCGACCCCCGGCCCCCGCCCCCAUGAUCCUCGCCCCGUGACCCUCGCCCGGCGACCGGACCCCCACCCCUCCUGCGACCUCUGCCCAGCGACCCCGCCCCCCCUCCUCCCGCGACCCCCGUCCCGCGAGCCCCGUUUCGCGCCGCCUCUGACCAACCUCUUUCGCAGCUCGGCCGCUACUCCGCCCUGUUCCUCGGUGUGGCCUACGGAGCCACGCGCUACAGUGAGUGACCGCGGGCGGGGCCGGGGCGGGGUCUGCUCGGCUUUCCUGUGGAGCUCCUGUGCUAUUUGGAGAACUCCAGCUCUGGAAGGGGGCUUGGGACGCAUGCGAGGCUGCAGGACCGUGUCCUCCACCGAGCGUGACCCCGAUAGUGGAAUCAGCUCACCCAAAGCUCAGGCUUCUGAGGCCCGGGCGGGGGACUCGAAAACGGCUGCUUCUUGGUGAAAACGGGUGCUAAAUGGCUGUUCGAGUGCUGAGGUCUUGAUGGGAGGCAGUCCCUGUUCGCAGAGGACGAGUGAGCCAGUGCGUGAGCGGGUGGGCAGCAGGGGCCCUGUAGCCUCUGGGUUGGACUCGUCAGGGUGAAGGUCAGGCGUUGACUCGCAUUAACAUAAAGAGCGGGAACAGCAGGUGCGUCUGGUUUACAGCGUCGCUGAAGAUACCUUGACCUGUGGACUCAGUUCCUUUUGUACAGCAUUUCCAGUGAAUUUUAUUCUCCUGCAUUCCGCCAAACAGAUUACCUAAAACCUCGGGCAGAAGAGGAGAGGAGGAUAGCAGCAGAAGAGAAGAAGAAGCAGGAUGAACUGAAACGGAUUGCCAGAGAAUUGGCAGAAGAUGACAGCAUAUUAAAGUGAGUGACCCUGCGACCCACUCUUUGGACCAGCAGCGGAUGAAUAAAGCUUCCUGUGUUGUGUGAU